GCAGAACGCGAAGAACCUUACCCGGGCUUGAAAGUUAGUGACGGAUGCAGAGACGCAUCCUUCCUUCGGGACACGAAACUAGGUGCUGCAUGGCUGUCGUCAGCUCGUGCCGUGAGGUGUUGGGUUAAGUCCCGCAACGAGCGCAACCCCCUAUGUUUAGUUGCCACGCACGUGAAGGUGGGGACGUCUAAACAGACUGCCUGCGCAAGCAGUGAGGAAGGCGGGGACGACGUCAAGUCAUCAUGGCCCUUACGUCCGGGGCGUACACACGUGCUACAAUGGGCGGUACAGAGGGCAGCCAUCCAGCAAUGGAGCGCGAAUCCCAAAAAGCCGUUCACAGUUCGGAUCGGGGCCUGCAACUCGGCCCCGUGAAGCUGGAUUCGCUAGUAAUCGCGUAUCAGCAAUGACGCGGUGAAUACGUUCCCGGGUCUUGUACACACCGGGUCUUGUACACACC
rnacentral:rRNA from 1 species